GCGGAGGAAAAGAAACCAACAGGGAUUGCCCCAGUAACGGCGAGUGAAGCGGCAACAGCUCAAAUUUGAAAUCUGGCCUCACGGCCCGAGUUGUAAUUUGCAGAGGAUGCUUUUGGCGCGGCGCCUUCCGAGUGCCCUGGAACGGGACGCCAUAGAGGGUGAGAGCCCCGUCUGGUUGGAUGCCUAGCCUCUGUAAAGCUCCUUCGACGAGUCGAGUAGUUUGGGAAUGCUGCUCAAAAUGGGAGGUAUAUGUCUUCUAAAGCUAAAUAUUGGCCAGAGACCGAUAGCGCACAAGUAGAGUGAUCGAAAGAUGAAAAGCACUUUGAAAAGAGGGUUAAAUAGUACGUGAAAUUGUUGAAAGGGAAGCGCUUGUGACCAGACUUGGGCUUGGUGAAUCAUCCGGCGUUCUCGCCGGUGCACUUUGCCUGUCCAGGCCAGCAUCAGUUCGCUCCGGGGGAUAAAGGCGUGGGGAAUGUGGCUCCUCCGGGAGUGUUAUAGCCCCGCGUGUAAUACCCUGUGGCGGACUGAGGUUCGCGCUCCGCAAGGAUGCUGGCGUAAUGGUCAUCAGCGACCCGUCUUGAAACACGGACCAAGGAGUCGUCUUCGUAUGCGAGUGUUCGGGUGUCAAACCCCUACGCGUAAUGAAAGUGAACGCAGGUGAGAGCUUCGGCGCAUCAUCGACCGAUCCUGAUGUUCUCGGAUGGAUUUGAGUAAGAGCAUACGGGGCCGGACCCGAAAGAAGGUGAACUAUGCCUGUAUAGGGUGAAGCCAGAGGAAACUCUGGUGGAGGCUCGCAGCGGUUCUGACGUGCAAAUCGAUCGUCAAAUAUGGGCAUGGGGGCGAAAGACUAAUCGAACCUUCUAGUAGCUGGUUUC
rnacentral:rRNA from 1 species